UGUCAUUUGUCACAACAUAAACAAACCGGUGAAAAAAAAUAUAAACAACUUUUCAAAUGUACAAAUAAAUAAAAAUUAACUUUAAUUAAAAAGUGAAAGUAUGUAAAAGUUUAAAAAUAAAUAAUGCCAGUAAAAGGUGACAAGUUAAUAAAAGUAGGAAAAGAUUUAUUCAAAUUAGAAGUUAAUAACCCAAACAAAAAAUGCAGUUCACGAGUAAACAUUUUAAAAUUUUGUUUUGACGAAUCUGAAGACCGCGCAGUAGCCAUUGAUUCUAUCGGUAAUUUUUAUUUACUUUCAUUAAUAAAUAAUCACUGGAUUGUUAAAAAAUUAAGUAACGUCGGGCAGUCAAGUUUCGUUGCCUUCAAUCCAAUUGAAAAAUCCGAGGUUAUUAUCGGGUUAGUGUCAGCAGAUUUAAAAGUUAUCAUAUUAGACAAAAUAUUCAACAAAUCAGAAUCAAUUGCCGACUUUUAUUUACUAAAAGGUCAUAAAUUACCUGCUACAUUAAUAACUUUUUAUAAAAACAAUUUUUUUUCCGUAUCAAGAAGCGAGGGAAUAAUCUGGGAUUUGAAAUCUUUUACGAAACUUCAUCAGUUGCGAUUAGAAUAUGGCGAAGGCGGGAUAAAAAAAGGUUUAUUGUCAUCCACUGGUUUAGUUUCAGUAAUUUAUGAAAAUGAUACCUUGCAAAUUUGGCCGUUUGAAAACUUCGGUGUCGAUAAAAAAAUUUUACUAUCGGACUACGGUUUAAAAAAUGUAAAAGACAUUAUUUUUACUGAGAACUCACGAGCGGCAAUUAUUUGUGGCGGGAGAAACAAAAUAAUUAUUUUAAAUACAAAGACUUGGUCUGUUAUUAAAAGUUUUGAAUUUUCUGAGCAUUCAAGUUGGAUUAAAAAAAUAGAAAUCGUGCCGCUGCCGCUUGACGCCGGGUCGAAUAAAAUAAUAAUCAUUUUAUUCGACGAUGGAAAAUUUAAAUUUUUUGACAUUCAUGCAAAAUCAUUUAUUGAAAAUACUGACUAUGUAGAUCAGGGCGUACGCAAAAUAACGGUAUCACCCCACGGUCAGUGGGUCGGAUUUAUAAAAUUCGAUGGGUCGUUGAUGAUAAGCUGCUUUGAUCAACUGAUGAAAGUAACAGCAGAGGUUACUAAAAUAAAAUCCGAAGCAGGAAAGAAAAAAGUAAAACCUCGGAGUAUUGAUAAGAAUUUAAAAUGCAUUGAAAAAAAUAUACAAGACAAUUUGAGACUCGAUAGACUUUUGCCGAUUUUGAAAGAAUAUGGAGAGUAUCCAGACUGUUAUCGCAGUAUCAUAUGGCGUAGUUUAAUGAAUUUGCCGAGUAACAAAAAAGCAUUUACGGGAUUAAUUAAUAAAGUACCUGGGGAUCUAAUAGUUAGACUAUUAGAUGAUCAUAAAUUAGCUGAUACUACAAAGUCGUCUGUGCUCGCAUUGACUUUUAGUAAACUGGUUAAAUUUUGUCCGAUGUUAGCAGAGUCGUCAUUUAUUCCGGAAUUUAUAUUUCCUUUUAUUAUGGUCUUUAAAAAAGAUCAUCUGCUUGCGUACGAAGCAACGCUGACGAUAAUAUUGAAUUAUUGUCAGAAAUGGUUUGAAUAUCAUCCGUUCCCGCCGCUGAAUAUUCUUGGUAUCAUUGAAAAUAUUUUGGCUGAAGUCGAUCCUGUGUUAAUUAAAUACUAUUAUGAAAAAAAUAUCACGUCGACUGUUUAUGCUUGGCCACUUCUCAAGACGGCUAUGAGCGAAGUUUUAACGGAGAGUGAAUGGCUGAUACUUUGGGAUCAUUUGCUGUCGUAUAGAAAGCCAACGUUAUUGUUGAUGUGUGUUGCUGCUUAUAAUAUUUGUUCUAAGCGUGUUAUUUUAUUAAUUAAUGAUAGAGAGAAUAUUGAAGAAUUUUAUCGACAGCCGGGACAAGUUCCGGUCAAAGAUAUUAUCAAAACAGCUUUGAGGCUUGAUCGUGAUGUUUCAGAAAGAAAUCAUCCAAAGCAAUAUCUCAAAGAAACAUUCUGUGCAUUACCACCAGAUGGACCAUAUCCAUUAUUUUUAUUCGAAGAAUAUCCUAAAUUUAUUAUUGAAAAUAAAGAAAAAAUGACUGAGUUGAUUAAUUUAAGAGAAGAAGAAAUAACUUUACGUAAAAAACGACAAGAAGUGUUGGAGAAUAUUGAGAAAAAAAGAUUAGAAGAUGAAAAGGACAAUUUUAUCAAAGAAGUUCAAAACCAGAGACUUCGAGAAUUACAACGAUGUUAUAAUGAGCAGCUUCGAGUAUCUGAAGCCUCAGUUGCUAGUGAACGUCAAAAACUCUAUCGACAAUUGCCACUGAGCGAAAGUAUAAAUCUCACAGAAAUUAAUUCUGCGAGUGAUGAAUUUAAUUCACGAUCAAGAGUUAACUCUUACAAUAAACUACGAAAUGAUGUGGAGGCACUUGAAGAAGAAGUUGGAGAAUUUUUAAAAACUAUUAAGUGUAAAAGAUAGAGACAUUAUAUAAUAUUUUAUUUAAUCUAAAGAGAAACAUUCUGUGCAUUACCACCAGAUGGACCAUAUCCAUUAUUUUUAUUCGAAGAAUAUCCUAAAUUUAUUAUUGAAAAUAAAGAAAAAAUGACUGAGUUGAUUAAUUUAAGAGAAGAAGAAAUAACUUUACGUAAAAAACGACAAGAAGUGUUGGAGAAUAUUGAGAAAAAAAGAUUAGAAGAUGAAAAGGACAAUUUUAUCAAAGAAGUUCAAAACCAGAGACUUCGAGAAUUACAACGAUGUUAUAAUGAGCAGCUUCGAGUAUCUGAAGCCUCAGUUGCUAGUGAACGUCAAAAACUCUAUCGACAAUUGCCACUGAGCGAAAGUAUAAAUCUCACAGAAAUUAAUUCUGCGAGUGAUGAAUUUAAUUCACGAUCAAGAGUUAACUCUUACAAUAAACUACGAAAUGAUGUGGAGGCACUUGAAGAAGAAGUUGGAGAAUUUUUAAAAACUAUUAAGUGUAAAAGAUAGAGACAUUAUAUAAUAUUUUAUUUAAUCUAAAGAGAAACAUUCUGUGCAUUACCACCAGAUGGACCAUAUCCAUUAUUUUUAUUCGAAGAAUAUCCUAAAUUUAUUAUUGAAAAUAAAGAAAAAAUGACUGAGUUGAUUAAUUUAAGAGAAGAAGAAAUAACUUUACGUAAAAAACGACAAGAAGUGUUGGAGAAUAUUGAGAAAAAAAGAUUAGAAGAUGAAAAGGACAAUUUUAUCAAAGAAGUUCAAAACCAGAGACUUCGAGAAUUACAACGAUGUUAUAAUGAGCAGCUUCGAGUAUCUGAAGCCUCAGUUGCUAGUGAACGUCAAAAACUCUAUCGACAAUUGCCACUGAGCGAAAGUAUAAAUCUCACAGAAAUUAAUUCUGCGAGUGAUGAAUUUAAUUCACGAUCAAGAGUUAACUCUUACAAUAAACUACGAAAUGAUGUGGAGGCACUUGAAGAAGAAGUUGGAGAAUUUUUAAAAACUAUUAAGUGUAAAAGAUAGAGACAUUAUAUAAUAUUUUAUUUAAUCUAAAGAGAAACAUUCUGUGCAUUACCACCAGAUGGACCAUAUCCAUUAUUUUUAUUCGAAGAAUAUCCUAAAUUUAUUAUUGAAAAUAAAGAAAAAAUGACUGAGUUGAUUAAUUUAAGAGAAGAAGAAAUAACUUUACGUAAAAAACGACAAGAAGUGUUGGAGAAUAUUGAGAAAAAAAGAUUAGAAGAUGAAAAGGACAAUUUUAUCAAAGAAGUUCAAAACCAGAGACUUCGAGAAUUACAACGAUGUUAUAAUGAGCAGCUUCGAGUAUCUGAAGCCUCAGUUGCUAGUGAACGUCAAAAACUCUAUCGACAAUUGCCACUGAGCGAAAGUAUAAAUCUCACAGAAAUUAAUUCUGCGAGUGAUGAAUUUAAUUCACGAUCAAGAGUUAACUCUUACAAUAAACUACGAAAUGAUGUGGAGGCACUUGAAGAAGAAGUUGGAGAAUUUUUAAAAACUAUUAAGUGUAAAAGAUAGAGACAUUAUAUAAUAUUUUAUUUAAUCUAAAGAGAAACAUUCUGUGCAUUACCACCAGAUGGACCAUAUCCAUUAUUUUUAUUCGAAGAAUAUCCUAAAUUUAUUAUUGAAAAUAAAGAAAAAAUGACUGAGUUGAUUAAUUUAAGAGAAGAAGAAAUAACUUUACGUAAAAAACGACAAGAAGUGUUGGAGAAUAUUGAGAAAAAAAGAUUAGAAGAUGAAAAGGACAAUUUUAUCAAAGAAGUUCAAAACCAGAGACUUCGAGAAUUACAACGAUGUUAUAAUGAGCAGCUUCGAGUAUCUGAAGCCUCAGUUGCUAGUGAACGUCAAAAACUCUAUCGACAAUUGCCACUGAGCGAAAGUAUAAAUCUCACAGAAAUUAAUUCUGCGAGUGAUGAAUUUAAUUCACGAUCAAGAGUUAACUCUUACAAUAAACUACGAAAUGAUGUGGAGGCACUUGAAGAAGAAGUUGGAGAAUUUUUAAAAACUAUUAAGUGUAAAAGAUAGAGACAUUAUAUAAUAUUUUAUUUAAUCUAACGGUAAAUAAAUUAAAUAUGUUUUUUUGUUUUUAAUCAAACAGUUAAUCAUGUAAAUUAUUUUUU